rnacentral:rRNA from 1 species
GACGAACGCUGGCGGCGUGCUUAACACAUGCAAGUCGAACGGGUCUGCCCUGUUUUUUGCGGGGUGGGUCAGUGGCGAACGGGUGAGUAACACGUGAGUAACCUGCCCCUCACUUCUGGAUAACCGCUUGAAAGGGUGGCUAAUACGGGGUGUUCUGGCUGUGCCGCAUGGUGUGGCUGGGAAAGAUUCACUUUUGUGGUAUUUUGGUGGGGGAUGGGCUCGCGGCCUAUCAGCUUGUUGGUGGGGUGAUGGCCUGCCAAGGCUUUGACGGGUAGCCGGCCUGAGAGGGUGGGCGGUCACACUGGGACUGAGAUACGGCCCAGACUCCUGCGGGAGGCAGCAGUGGGGGGUAUUGCACAAUGGGCGGAAGCCUGAUGCAGCGACGUCGCGUGAGGGAUGGAGGCCUUCGGGUUGUGAACCUCUUUCGCCGGUGAAGAAGGUCCUGCUCUUUGUGGUGGGGUUGACGGUAGCCGGGUUAUGAAGCGCCGGCUAACUACGUG